rnacentral:lncRNA from 1 species
CUCAAUUCUUUCUUCUCUCUCUACAUGCUGCUUUUCUCUUAUCUCACGACAACUCACUCUAUAUUAUAUAUUGGUAAAUUCUCUCUACUCACUGCCUCUCUCAAUUCUCUCACACAACUUUCUUUAUCACUCUUUCUCUUUCUCAGCUUUUCUCCACAAUGUCGAUGGAAUUGCCUUCUGAUUUCUUCCAACAUGGCGGUAAAAAUGGAUUGAGCUAGAGUUAGUCCUUUUCUAGAUUGUUCCCAAUUGCUUGAAGAAGAAGGUUCAAGAAAUGGGCUGCAUUAUAUAUUUUUCUCUGAAAUUUUCUUUAAGUUCUGUGCUGUAUCUUCAAAUAUUACUCCUUUCCACAUAAGCCCUUUUGAAGGUUUCUCAAGACUCAGGAGUUGAAAUAGUUACCGCUAGAAGGAAUUGUUGCCUGAAUUUCUAGCACGACGUUGUGUCCGACAUAGCAAAAGCCACAUCACCCAAUGCAUUGAAAAAGUUAAAUCUCGUUGUAGUCAAGGCUCCUAGGCCAUAAUUCCUAUUUGCGGAGCUAAGAUCAAGAUGAAAAGGGUGAGCUUGAUCUGACUGAAGGAAGAGGGGGGGGGGGAAUUCUAUCCAUGUGGGUCCGCCCCUGCGCUACAUCAUAGUGUUUAUGUGAAACCCUAUACAAAUUAGAAUAUAUCUACUUUUUAUUAGGGGGCGAACUCACAUAAGACUACCCAGACACAAAAAAUAAUUGUAUGGCAUUUUUAUUUUUAUAUAUUAGCCUAUCCUAAUUGUUGAAACCUUGGUCUUCCUAGAGUUGUAAUAUUGGUUGGA